CCACUAAUGGAGAGGAACAGAGGGAAGGUUGGCAGCAGGGAUUGGUAUUAAACCUAACCACUAAUGGAGAGGAACAGAGGGAAGGUUGGCAGCAGGGAUUGGUAUUAAACCUAACCACUAAUGGAGAGGAACAGUGAGAAGGUUGGCAGCAGGGAUUGGUAUUAAACCUAACCACUAAUGGAAAGGAACAGAGGGAAGGUUGGCAGCAGGGAUUGGUAUUAAACCUAACCACUAAUGGAAAGGAACAGUGAGAAGGUUGGCAGCAGGGAUUGGUAUUAAACCUAACCACUAAUGGAAAGGAACAGUGAGAAGGUUGGCAGCAGGGAUUGGUAUUAAACCUAACCACUAAUGGAAAGGAACAGUGAGAAGGUUGGCAGCAGGGAUUGGUAUUAAACCUAACCACUAAUGGAAAGGAACAGAGGGAAGGUUGGCAGCAGGGAUUGGUAUUAAACCUAACCACUAAUGGAAAGGAACAGUGAGAAGGUUGGCAGCAGGGAUUGGUAUUAAACCUAACCACUAAUGGAGAGGAACAGUGAGAAGGUUGGCAGCAGGGAUUGGUAUUAAACCUAACCACUAAUGGAAAGGAACAGUGGGAAGGUUGGCAGCAGGGAUUGGUAUUAAACCUAACCACUAAUGGAAAGGAAAGGAACAGAGGGAAGGUUGGCAGCAGGGAUUGGUAUUAAACCUAACCACUAAUGGAAAGGAACAGUGAGAAGGUUGGCAGCAGGGAUUGGUAUUAAACCUAACCACUAAUGGAGAGGAACAGUGAGAAGGUUGGCAGCAGGGAUUGGUAUUAAACCUAACCACUAAUGGAAAGGAACAGUGAGAAGGUUGGCAGCAGGGAUUGGUAUUAAACCUAACCACUAAUGGAAAGGAACAGUGGGAAGGUUGGCAGCAGGGAUUGGUAUUAAACCUAACCACUAAUGGAAAGGAACAGUGAGAAGGUUGGCAGCAGGGAUUGGUAUUAAACCUAACCACUAAUGGAAAGGAACAGUGGGAAGGUUGGCAGCAGGGAUUGGUAUUAAACCUAACCACU